rnacentral:rRNA from 1 species
GAUGUUGGGUUAAGUCCCGCAACGAGCGCAACCCUCGUCCUCUGUUGCCAUCAGGUCAAGCUGGGCACUCUGAGGAGACUGCCGGUGAUAAACCGGAGGAAGGUGGGGAUGACGUCAAGUCAGCAUGGCCUUUAUGUCCAGGGCCACACACGUGCUACAAUGGCGGAUACAAAGCGUCGCAAACCCGCGAGGGUGAGCUAAUCGCAGAAAGUCCGUCUCAGUUCGGAUUGUAGGCUGCAACUCGCCUGCAUGAAGUCGGAAUCGCUAGUAAUCGCGGAUCAGCAUGCCGCGGUGAAUACGUUCCCGGGCCUUGUACACACCGCCCGUCACAUCACGAAAGCUGGCUGUACUAGAAGUAGCUUCGCCAACCCGCAAGGGGGCUGGUUCCUAAGGUAUGGUCAGUGAUUGGGGUGAAGUCGUAACAAGGUAA